AAAUAAGAAGCAAUUAAGCAUAUUAGUUUCGACCUAAUAAUAGAUAAAAAUUUUAUCCUUAUUUA
rnacentral:tRNA from 1 species